AAGAAACUAGUUGCUUCAUAUCACCUUCAAAAACUUCGCACACCCCACUCCGCAUCACCUAGCUCAAUGGCGCAUUAAUCAAGAUCCCUUUUGAACCUUGCCAUAACUCAAGAUGCAUCGUUUCUCUUCCAGUGUGGGUCGUGCCAACCCUAGGGUGGGCAUGGCAACCCCUUAGGGCAAGGGAGAUAGAGAGAGAGGAGAGAGAGUGGCAUGGAGGCUACACUAAGAGAGAGGCCAUACUCAUAUUGUCUCAGGGUUUCAAAGGAUUAUUUAUAACGGUUUCUCAAAAUUAUCUAUAAAUGUUGAUCUAUGGUGAUCUAUAGGUUGAAG
rnacentral:lncRNA from 1 species